rnacentral:rRNA from 1 species
UGGGGAAUUUUGGACAAUGGGCGCAAGCCUGAUCCAGCAAUGACGCGUGCAGGAUGAAGGCCUUCGGGUUGUAAACUGCUUUUGUACGGAGCGAAAAGGUCUGCCCUAAUACGGUGGGCUCAUGACGGUACCGUAAGAAUAAGCACCGGCUAACUACGUGCCAGCAGCCGCGGUAAUACGUAGGGUGCGAGCGUUAAUCGGAAUUACUGGGCGUAAAGCGUGCGCAGGCGGUUAUAUAAGACAGGUGUGAAAUCCCCGGGCUCAACCUGGGACCUGCAUUUGUGACUGUAUAGCUAGAGUACGGUAGAGGGGGAUGGAAUUCCGCGUGUAGCAGUGAAAUGCGUAGAUAUGCGGAGGAACACCGAUGGCGAAGGCAAUCCCCUGGACCUGUACUGACGCUCAUGCACGAAAGCGUGGGGAGCAAACA